GUGGCUGAUUUAGGUUCCAAGCAGAAUGGAAUUGGGUGCCCUGGAAGCCUGAGGCAGAUUUGGUACUAUGGAGGGUGCACUUGCUGAUAUGAAGUUUUAUUUUAUACAAAUCCUGGAGAAGCUAAGUGAGGCCAUGUCAAUGUUGCCAGAAGACAUGAGAAUCAUGCCAGAUCUCUGUGGCUUAACAUGGAACAUAGUGUUCUGGAGGCUGGGAAGUUCAAGAUCAAGGUACUAGCAAAUUUCAUUACCUGGUGCCCCAUGAUGGCACACAGCUUUACUCAGCAAGCCCUGCCAGCUUCCAAACCCCAGGAUACUGACCUGCACCAGCAUGUGGGGCAGGCAGCAUUACCUCCCCAACUGUGUGGAGAAGAGAACAUUUCACCACUGGGUGAUGAGAGAGUUGACAGAGAAUCUUGGCUUCUCAAUGCCAGACAUGAUUGGAGACCUUUCAUUGUUCUAUUAGAAAAGUCCAUGAAGAAGCUGUGAAUAGGAUCAGUCCAGAGAAGAAAAACUCUUAUUUUCACUGUCCAAACAUCAGUCAAUAUAUUGAGAGAGCCAGCAGAAUCCCUCGCCCUAGCCUUGCCUCUUGAGCACACUGCACAUGAACACUUCCGUGGGGUGAGCGUUCAGCUCCUAAAGGGCCAUGUUCCUCUUUCCUGUGGUCUGUCCAGAAAGCCCAAAUAUCUCAGAGUUUUUCU